rnacentral:rRNA from 1 species
GAUGAACGCUGGCGGCGUGCCUAAUACAUGCAAGUCGAGCGAACAGACGAGGAGCUUGCUCCUUUGACGUUAGCGGCGGACGGGUGAGUAACACGUGGGUAACCUACCUAUAAGACUGGGAUAACUUCGGGAAACCGGAGCUAAUACCGGAUAAUAUUUCGAACCGCAUGGUUCGAUAGUUAAAGAUGGUUUUGCUUUCCCUUAUAGCUGGACCUGGCCCGAAUUAGCUAGUUGGUAAGGUAACGGCUUACCAAGGCAACGAUUCGUAGCCGACCUGAGAGGGUGAUCGGCCACACUGGAACUGAGACACGGUCCAGACUCCUACGGGAGGCAGCAGUAGGGAAUCUUCCGCAAUGGGCGAAAGCCUGACGGAGCAACGCCGCGUGAGUGAUGAAGGUCUUCGGAUCGUAAAACUCUGUUAUUAGGGAAGAACAAACGUGUAAGUAACUGUGCACGUCUUGACGGUACCUAACCAGAAAGCCACGGCUAACUACGUG